rnacentral:rRNA from 1 species
AUUGAACGCUAGCGGCAGGCUUAACACAUGCAAGUCGAACGAGUGGCGGACGGGUGAGUAAUGUCUCGGAACCUGCCUGAUGGCGGGGGAUAACUACUGGAAACGGUAGCUAAUACCGCAUACUAUCGGAUCUGCCCAGAUGGGAUUAGCUAGUGGGUGGGGUAACGGCGCACCAAGGCGACGAUCCCUAGCUGGUCUGAGAGGAUGACCAGCAACACUGGGACUUAGACACGGCCCAGACUCCUACGGGAGGCAGCAGUGGGGAAUAUUGGACAAUGGGCGCAAGCCUGAUGCAGCCAUGCCGCGUGUAUGAAGAAGGCCUUCGGGUUGUAAAGUACUUUCAGCAGGGAGGCGUUACCCGCAGAAGAAGCACCGGCUAACUCCGUGCCAGCAGCCGCGGUAAUUC